CUGAAUUAUGUCCUCUUUUUUCAGAAGUUUGUAAGGUUUUUCUUCUGUGACAUCUUCAUUAAUUCGACAAUUUAAAAUUUCUUGUGUCUUUUGAGUGAAAACUAAUGGAAAGAUCUCUGGCUGGCCUAGAAAAGGUCUUCCACUGCAUCUGCUCUGCUGCAGUCAUCCACUGAAAUCAAUGGAAUACUAAGCCAUUCCUAGUAUACUCUGCAAUAUGAAAGAUGUGGACUUCCUGGACUUACCUGGACUUCCUGGCUAUUUACACAACAUUGUGCAUUAUGCAUACAACACACACAAUUUCUGUGUCUAUUUGCUUCACAAGUGCUAAUUAACAUUUCACUGCUUUC